CUGAAAAUAAAAAUUUGGAUUAUUAUUAUUAGGAACGUACUAAUUAAUGCUGUGUUUUACAAAUGUCACUGAUAUUUAUUUCUGUGUACAUUUACAUUUUGUUGCAUAUAUAAUUUUAUUUUUAGAUUUUGGCAGCUCUGCUCCUCCAUCCUCCAUCAUCCUAUGACAUGAGUAAUAUUGCCUAUGUAACAGUCUUUCUCUCCCCCUCAAGGCCUCUCCACCGGAGGGGAAUGAACCACCAGAAACACAGCCGAUGCCUCCUUCCACCUCCUCUGCCUCCGCAUGGCAUGUGGUCCCCACAACCUGGUCUUCUCCCUCCGCCUAUCCUCAGCAAUUACCAGUGGAGGCCCCCCCCAGCAACAUGGCGACGGUAGGAGGCCCUACCCCCCUGGAGAGCACAGGAGGGGUGAGGCGGACUGGAGGUCACCCCCCCACCAUGAAGAAGAUAGAAGUCGCUACCCAUCUGGGCCUCCCCCUUACUCCCUCCCCCGUUACUCCCCCAAUGGGUGGACUAAUGAGCCUCCGAGGCUUGCCUCUUCACUGUUCUCUGAAGGGAUGAGUGGACCACACAGGUUUGCCCGCCCACGGCGCAGGAAGUAGAGCCUGGAUUCAUUGGGAGAGGAGGGAGGGAGGAGUGCAGUUGGUCUUUGAUAGAAGUGGUCUAAUAGGAUUUACUUUUUACAAACAGGUUUUUGAUGAGUCAGAGAAACCUUAGUUCACUUAAAUAAAGUGCCUGAUGGACUGUCAUUUUACUGGCUGACCUGUGGGGGAAUUGACUGACUGUUGAGGGAAUUGACUGAUGGACUGCUGGGGGACUGACUGAUUGGUUUCGGAUGUGAGUUUCUAGUGCACUCAUUUAACAGGGCAGGGCUUGUUAUGCCAUUUUAUUGUGAUUGCUGUAGUUUCUGUUGAGUGCUAAUAAAGAACAUUCGCAGCCCAGGGGUCAUACAGUGCUUAAGAAAAUCAAGUGGCAGGAUACCAUGAAAAUCACGUUGCCAAGGAUUUCAUUAGAGAACUGUGAGAGGUAGAAUCUUCCCCUGGUUUCCAGCUGAUAUGACAGGUGUUGCUUUUGUCUGCUAUGCUUGUUGUGGCUGAACCUUUUGGGAUUACUAUUGGGCAACAUAAUCCAUUGUUGACAUUAACUUGUCUUUUUAUACAACACGUUCCUUUGCAAAAGGUUGUCAUUUUCAUGUGUAUGAGAAUACAUUUCCUCAGUUUUUAAGGCCCAACGCAAUUUGUAUUUCAAAUAUUUUAUAGGAAACACAUAAUAUUUUUAACAGGCUUGUAAACUUGACCGAUUUCUCUGCUCACUCUUUACAUAUCCUCAUACUGUGCACUGUGUAUACCAAUAGCAGUAAAUCCACAAUUUACUCAGCUCUGUAUAAAGACAAAGAAAUAUGCUGAACUAGCUUUGAGAGUGAGUUACUUACAUAUACAACCAGGCUCUGCUCACUGUGUGAGAGCUGCACCUCAAACAACUUGGGUUUGUGUGGCUAAUCCUAUGGCUAUACCUGAUGGGAAUUUGUUGUAGAACUGUUAGGAGAUUAUUGGUCAAUGCCCACUCAAUUCGUUGCUUCCCAUGGCUAUCUACAAAUGUAAUACAUUUUUGCCCAACUCUGAAUAAAGAUACAUUGCUAUAGGC
ensembl:lncRNA